CAAGACAAACCCCAUUCUGUCGGUUCGACACAACGUCUCGUUCCCUCCAUCAGGGAACCGAGGUUACAUCCGUAACCAAGACAUUUCUGUUGUCAGUUCAUGACGCGACAUCAUCUAACAACUCACAAUAAAAAGCGGUGAUUUCGGCUAACGUUAUAUGAUCUUUCACACAGCCUCAUGGUAACCAUGUGCAUAUUUACGGAUGAAAUUUGUUCAUAUUUAUUUAUCCAAACAGUCGAUAACAGUGACGGGUUGUUGGAAACGCUGUUUCGUACUCAUUUUAUUCACGGGUCACCUGUCGUACCAUGGUGCUUCUUCCUGCCGCUCACUGUACAGUGUGACGCCGUGAGAAGGGAUCCCUGCGCCGGGAAAGAGAGACCUCGCGCUCGCGGGGCAGCACUGGCGACAUUUUCCCACUGAAUGAAAGCUAAGGUUUAUCCAAGAAGUGGAUAGAUUUGUCGCUAUGUGCUUCUUCUGAACAAAAGCCGCUAGAUGGCUCGUAAAAGUGACUAAAUCAAAAGACAGAUUUUCUAAUUCAGAAACAAUGUUUUGUGUGUGCACCUCCAUGUGCGCACACAAAUGAAUUUGGCGUAAACGCUGUUAUGUGAAAUUUUCUUCCCCUUGCCUGGGCCCCAAGCGCGCGCUCAUGGGCCCCUGCCCAUAAUGCCUAUUGGAUAAUCCGGCCCUGUGUCAUGGCUCUGCUUCAUUUAGUCAUGUCUUUCUUGGUCCUGUAGCAGAGCCAUGGCAAAGCCUUUGGUUAUGUGUGGAGAGAAACAUAUUAUUGUCCUUUGACAAUAAUAUGCGUUCUCUCCAGUGUCUCUUCUCUGUUCCCGCCAUCUCGUUUCCUCGUUAUCUUUCCCUGAGUGUUUAAUUACCCACACCUGCCCCGUGUCGUUAUCCCUCGUUUGUCUCUCCCUAUUUAUACCCUCAUGUUUCUUUGUCUUGUGCUGUUGGAUUGUACUCUGUUCAGUAUUACGUUGUGUAUGGUUUCGUCGAGUGCCUUUCGUCUGCCAUGUGUGCUGUGUUCCUGUUGUCUGUGAAAACCCCUGUCAAGUUGAGUUUAGUAAGUCUUUAGUUUAGCUUUUGUCCAGUGUUGUUUAUUUUAGUUUAGUCUUAGUUAGUCUACGUCUUGUCUGCUUCCUGUUAUCUUGUUUUCUUGUUUAUAUCCCCAUCGUGGGUGUUUGCUUUGUCUUUUUGUUUUGUAAAAUAAAGUAUUUUUGUUAACCCCUUACCCACCGCCUGCCUGCAUCUGGGUUCUCUGCACCUCAAUCGUGACACCCUGUUUAUAACGAUGUACUUAUUGAUUGUUUUAUGUUGUUUUUUUAAUUCCCUUUUUAAUUUGAAGUAUUUAUUGAUGGAUUAAUAUUUCAUUUAUUAAUUAUUUUUAUAAUCACGCUUUUUAUUGCCCAUUAAAGCGUUAAAUAAUGAAUGACUUUAUCAAUUCACCUAUUUAUAUUUGGAUAAAUAAAUUAAGUUGUAAACAAAUGUAUUAAUGCCUAUUUUUAUUGUAGAAUUACUUGUGUAAAGUAUUAAAGCAUUUCUUAGUUUAAUAUGACUCUUCCGGUCCUCCAUAGCACUGGACCCCAUUCACUUCUAUUGUAUAGACACAAAACUAUUUGCAAGUGAAAGGUGUCAAGUUAACAGCGUUUUUCAAAAUAUCUUUUGUGUUCUGUGGAAGGAAGAAAGUCAUACAGGUGUGAAAUGACAAGAGGGCGAGUAAAUGAUAACAGAUUUAAGUAUAUCACUUUAAGUAUAUUCUUUAUACAUGUAAUGAAUCUCUCUCAGCUUGUUAAUUGCUGUACUUUUAGGUGACUCCAGCAGAUGUAGAGGGAUCCCUUUCUGUGCCCAGCACCCCAAGACUGAUUGCACUUGGAGAUUCUGUUUUCCAUGCCAAAAAUGGAUGCUGACAAUGGAGGGUUUUUCUGAGAACACACCCUGAUAGCACCAAAUGCCAAUCAAAAUCACAUAUAAGCCAGACACAGAAGAAAAAUCACCAGCCUGAAUCCUUGUGGCAUCUUUUAUCAACGAGCUAGUUGAGUAAUGAAAUGAAGCACUACUGACGACAACACUACAAACAAAACAAACAUGUUUUUUUUUUGCUGUUUGAUUUGAGUUCUCUGACCUAUGCUGCAUCCAAACUGCAUUCUGCAACAGUAUGUACUGAUUUAAAUUAAGUACCUACCUAUCUACCAUUAAAACAGUAUGUUCUAUAGUUUUUGUGGGAGUAGUAUUAUUACAUUUCGGACAUGCUGCAUCAUGCAUGUUUAUUGUCAUGUGACCCGUAUGCUCUUUGACCUAUGACAUUUUUAAAACAACCUGUAGAUUGGCAUUGGUAAAAACAUUAAGUGGUUUGUAUGUUUUUAACUCUGUUUCCUUAAUUUUUUUGUCAGUUCUCAAUGCAUUGUUUUGUUCCCUGGUUUUCUGAGUAUUUUUAAAUGAAAUUCUGUUUAAAAUAAAACUUUAACU